AAAGUCGUAACAAGGUUUCCGUAGGUGAACCUGCGGAAGGAUCAUUAGAAAAUCCAAGAGCGGUUGACCGCACUUGGGUACUUUUCUAACCCCAUUGUUGACCAUUACCUCUGUUGCUUCCACAGCAAAGCAAUUUUUUGCACCGCUGUGAAUAGAUCUAAAUUAUAACCUUUGUAAUUAACAUGUCUUUGUCUGAUAAUAAAGAUUAAAUGUCUUAAAACUUUCAACAACGGAUCUCUUGGCUCCU
rnacentral:misc_RNA from 1 species